AUUUGUCCCUACACUUUCCCUCCUGCAUGUCCUUUGCACUCUGAGAAACACGACUUUCGGCAACACAACCAGUUUGUGACAACAUUAAGAGAUUCUGUCAUAUCGGGGUCGCAUGGUUUUGCAAAGGUCGUUUCCCCAAGAUGCAGAAGGACGUCAGGAAGCGGCGUGCAGGUACACCUACAGACUGCAGCACGGAUUUCAUAUUUCAUUCAUUCACAACUCCUCCAACACGGACACCACUGUUCCCGCACUUAUAAGUAAAG